AACGAACGCUGGCGGCAUGCCUAACACAUGCAAGUCGAACGAGACCUUCGGGACUAGUGGCGCACGGGUGCGUAACGCGUGGGAACCUUCCCUUAGGUUCGGAAUAACUCUCCGACAGGGGUGCUAAUACCGGAUAAUGUCCUCGAACCAAAGAUUGAUCGCCUUUGGAUGGGCCCGCGUUGGUUUAGCUUGUUGGUAGUGUAAAAGCCUACCAAGGCGACGAUCCAUAGCUGGUCAGAGAGGAUGAUCAGCCACACUGGGACUGAGACACGGCCGAGACUACUACGGGAGGCAGCAGUGGGGAAUAUAGGAAUAUCGGCGAAAGGAUGAAGGAGCUAUGCCGGGUGAGUGAUGAAGGUGUUAGAGUAGUAAAGCUCUUUUACCCGGGAUGAUAAUGACAGUACCGAGAGAAUAAGCACCGGCUAACUCCGUG
rnacentral:rRNA from 1 species